GAGGAUGAGGAGGAGCCCAACUGCCCUUGCAACCCUGCGCUAGAGCCGGUGGGCGGAACUCCAUCGCGCCGCCGCUUCUGAGGCCAGUGAAGGACAGACAACAGUCUGAGGGGAGACAGCAUUCAACAGAAGCUCAUCAAGUGCUUUUAGAGGCCUUCAAGAAGAACUGCUGUUGUGCUUGAAAAUUGAAUAUGACCUGCUGCAAAACUUUUGUUUAAAACCUUAGUUUCCAAUUCUCCCAGUCUUCAUUUAAUGAUGAAAAUGAAGUGUUAUAUUUAAAGAUAAUGCUACCUUUUACCAUAGGUAGUUCGUCUGAAGAAACAACAGUUCUUAAAUACAUGUUUUUAUGCUAGCAGUACUUGGCCAAGGAUGAAAACCAUCAUCUGAUUCCUUGCAUACUUUCAGUGAUACGCAAAAAUCUGAUGGAUUAAAGGAUUUUCUGAGGCCAAAACU